GGGGUCGUAGCCUAGCCUGGUAGGGCGACAGUCUGCGAAAUUACCGCCAAGGGCUCCAGAGGUCUGUACCAAGCUGGCUGAUUGAUGAUGUAAGUUUGGAGCUGCAGAGACCCGUAGGUCGCCGGUUCGAUUCCGGUCGGCCCCA
rnacentral:tRNA from 1 species